AAAGUUUCGGAUGGAGAGGAAGAUGUGUGUUCUAGCGGCGGACGGGUGAGUAACGCGUGAGCAACCUGUCCCUUACAGGGGGAUAACACAGCGAAAGUUGUACUAAUACCGCAUAAGACCACGGUGUCACAUGACAGAGGGUCAAAGGAGCAAUCCGGUGAGGGGUGGGCUCGCGUCCGAUUAGAUAGUUGGUGAGGUAACGGCCCACCAAGUCGACGAUCGGUAGCCGACCUGAGAGGGUGAUCGGCCACAUUGGGACUGAGACACGGCCCAAACUCCUACGGGAGGCAGCAGUGGGGAAUAUUGGGCAAUGGGGGGAACCCUGACCCAGCAACGCCGCGUGAGGGAAGAAGGUUUUCGGAUCGUAAACCUCUGUCCUUGGUGAAGAGGAAGAGACGGUAGCCAAGGAGGAAGCCCCGGCUAACUACGUGCCAGCCGCCGC
rnacentral:rRNA from 1 species